rnacentral:ribozyme from 1 species
CGAAAAACGGGCGGGGGGUUCCCCCGUUCCUGUUCAUUUUCCUAUUUCGAUCUUCUCGCCUGAACCGUUUUUUCUUCGGCACCACCUUAUAGUAUUCUUGCAGCACACG